UCCUCGUCGGGGCCCUACGGCUGCCGGGCUGCGCAGGGCUGGGAGGGGAAGGCAGGCGGUGGGAAGGGCAGGUGCUGAGCAGAGCUGCAGUCCUGCCCCAGGGCUCCUGCCUGUGCCGCAGCUGCGGCUGUCUGGAUUUUCUGCCCUGUGAAUGAGGAUUAAAAAAAAAAAAAAAAAAAAAAAGUUUUGUCUUUAGGGCAACAAAUGUCAGGGUUUUUUCCCCUCUGCUUGCUGCGAUGCCGUAAGCCGUGUCAGCUCUGUGCCUACACCUGGUGUGCGUGUCCCAGUGGGAUCCUGCCGGAGCUGCCGGCGAGGCAGGGAUCUGCUGGCGGAUGUCCUGGGGGAGCACAUCAACCUGAUGGCACCUGGCCUGUGCCAAACGACGGGUAUGAUCUGUGGGGCUGCCCACCUUGAAAGUGUAAUCCUCACUGCUGAAAAUACUGCAGAAAAUGCAUGCACGGUUUAAAUUGCCACAUAAAUUGAAUACAGGAGCGUACAGAAUAAUCCUGCCCCUAAAGAAGAAUAUAGGAAUGUAGCCUUGUUACUUAAAUCCUUAGUUUGCAAGUUUUGAGAUCGUAUCUGCUCACGGUGUGUUUUGCUUGAAUUAAAUAUAUUGAUAAUCUGUUUGCUCCAAUAACCGUGAAUAGGUAGAACGGUAUAACAAACCAGUUCAGCAUCGCUUCCCCUAAGGAACAGAAAGACAUUUUUUAGGCGAUUUUUCUAGAGCCCCGUGGGCUGCGGGAGGAACUUGCCGGUCCCCUCACGCAGGGUGGCUCUGGCAUGGAGCUGUCUGCGGAUCCUGCUUCAUCCAGGAGCAACAGCUCCAGCAGAGGCACAGAUGCAGGAUGCUGCUUUGGAAAUUUCCCCAUUCUGGUAUCAUUAACCCUAAACUGGCCUUCGCCCUGGGUUAUUUUGCCAGCUGCACCGAUUAGUCAUUCUCCUGUCCCCUUAUUUGCUUCGCCAUCUCUCCUCAAUCCCUUCAAUCCUGACAUGUAUUUCUAUUAAUCAGGCCCUUCCCUUGCCUGUUUUUUCUGGCUGGAUUUGCAGAAGUGGUUUAUUUACAAAUCUCUCCAGAAUUGGCCUCUUAUGGUUAAAAGUGACGCGGGCGUUGGUUGAAGAAAAGCUGAUUUUUGACAAACUCAGCAUGAGAAUGAGAACAGAUGGGGACUUUGAUGAAUUAGAUAUUGCUAAAUGUUGUCCUCCUGCAAAUCAGCUUGGUUUUCCCUAUUAGCAUAAGAAGCAGGAAAAAGGCUUUAAUUUCUCUAAACAUUUCCCCUUAAUGAUCUACCUCUCCAGCUUAGAGAUUUAUAUUGCUGCUUAUCAGCAAAGCAGCUGAAUUCCUUCCACAGAGAAUCGACUGCAAUUUCGAGGUGAUUUCUGGCGUUUUUCCCUCCCUGGAAUGAGAACUGUGCUUAGGAGAGGUGGUUGCUGUUUUUAAAUGGUAUCAAGUCAGGGGCUUUUUUAUAUGUUUUUAGGUUGAUUUAAUGGAGUGAUUUUGUAAAAUUUUAUUUAUUUUUUUAAAGAGUCAAGAGGAGCCACCAGCACAUCCUGGAGAUGCUUUAGGCUCUUUGCCCCGUCUGGCAGCGCUGCCGGCUCUCCUGCGCCCUGACGCCUCUGCCGCGGUGAGUCGCAGCCCGCAGGGUCCCUGAGCAGGGUGGAGGGUGGCAGUCCUCGCUGUGCUCGGGGACCCGGCCAGCGGCACCCCGCCUGCACCCGCAGCAUCCUGCACUGAUGCCGGGCAUGGCUCGCGAGGCUGGUAGGGCUGGUGGGCACCGUGGUAGGUGUCGUCCCACCCGUGCGAAGAGCUGCCCCUCUCUGUUACCUUUUCCAGGUGGGCUGGGCUUCUAGGGUGGAGGUCUUGUGUUACAGGGUAUGGUUAGUGGUGUGGCGCCCGUGCUUGCACUGGGGUUUGUCCUCAGGAUGCAAAAGCCCCUGAGGCAGCAGAGCUCUGACACUAACCUCGCUGCGCCCGUAGCGUCUAAGGGUAGUUCAGCUUGGCUGGAUGGCCGCACUGCAGGCGAGGAGCAGGGGACUGUGAGGGGGGGGACGGGGGCUCUGCCACGCGCCGGGAUGGAGGAAGGCUGUUGUAGGUGCUCUGGGAUUUAUCUGCUGUGUAGGCGAGUGGCUGAGAGAAAGAUGGAGCGGGGGCAGCCCCUGGGGCUUUGCCAGGGCUGCUCACUGCGUGGAGCUUUGCCGGGUUUUACUGCAGGCUGUUGGCAAAGGAUGGAGCUAGCACAUUGUGGGUGCUCUAGCACCUGAUGCUGAAUGCUGUUUCAUAAUCUCUCCAGCCCAGAGGUUUGCAAAUGCUAUUUCCCUUUCUGCUUCCACCUCUGACCUUCUUGCAUCUCCUCCUGCUCUGCCCAAGGGCCAAAGCGAUGCUGCUCUAUGGAUGCCAGAUACAGGCGCUGGGUUUGCCAGUGACACUGGGGAUGGCAGAAACGAUCCUGUUUAACUUCUCUGCAGGAAAGACUCUGGAGUGCUGAGGGAACAGGAUCCCACGCUGUCUCACCAUCCCCUUCAGAGGGAGGGAGUCUGCAGGGAGGUUUUUUAAUAGCUCGGCUUUAAUUAUCCCUUCUGCCACUUGUAGGUCCGAGCCUCGAUGGCGAGAUAAGGCAUCCACUCGCUGAACCCCUGAAGGGAACUGCUUUGCAAGUCAGCAGCACCGCGGGGAUGGUGCGAGUAGCUGAGGACCUGCACGCACUCUCUUGCUGCGCAAUAAUUUUCUUCAAGGCUGAGGAGGAAGCGCCUGACAGGAAUCCUUUGCCAUCUGGGUACCUACAGACUGUGUCUGAGCCAUCUCUUCAUCAGUAAACCCAAGAAAACACCAUCAGAUGGAGCUUCUGGAGCCUUGUUUUAUCCGGAAGGUUUCCUGGCUUGCGAGUGCUGCUGUCUUUGACCCCCAAAUCUGCCCAAAUGCUCCAGCAUCCCAUGGGACUGCUCAACAGGGCUGGAGCUUGCCCUCAGAAGAAGAGAUCCUCCUCAGCCAUACCUGCUCAUUGCAGAGGGGCUAGAGCAGCCUGGCCGCAGGAAAUCACCGCGGCACCAUCAUUUUGUGGAAAUGGUGAUGUCACUCCACUACAAUGACUUGGGAAAAGGCAGUACCUCCCUGAAAGCGGAUCGCAGGUACUCCACAGCAUGACGGGGAAGCGUGACCCAGCCUUGGCGCAGGCGAUGCAGCGAGCGUUGGUGCAUGGGAGUCACGAGGAGCUGAGAUCAAAGCCACAGCCGCUCCAAGCUUUCCUGGCCAGAUGUGGUUUUCGAUAAAGGAACUGGGCAAUUAUUGCUCCAUAACUCCACGGAUUUUAUGUGAACCAUUAUUAAAUUAUUAUUAAAUCAUUGUUAAAUGUGAAGUCUGAGAAGGCGUGAGGAAGAAUCCACCCUGAGUGGCUCAGUGCCAGCACCAAGGACGUUACACCUUGAUGUGCAAGAGUUUGGAUGGUUCAGCCCAGCUGAAGAGGGACAUCACAAGAAGAAGGGCUGUGUCUGUUCCAGGGCAUCCAUCACUUUUGGCAACGGGCUCCUUAUGCAAUGGAAGGGCUGGGAAGCACGUGGUCCUCCAGUGGGCCGCAGACGGAGAGGGGCACAGGGGGAGCCGGAGCAGCCUGGCUGGGGGACGGGGCUCAUCACGGUGAUUAAUACGAGCCUGAUUGCGUGACCCUCGCUGGGGACAGCAUGCUUGGCAUGGGUUGGAGGUGGAGGGGACUGUGCCCUGGGACUCCUCUGUGUGCCUGACCCACGCCUGCCUCCUUCCAUUCCUCCCCCAUCACUUCCAGCAGAAGUUUGAGAUGAACAUCAUCUUCAGAGAUGCUUGGGUGUCCUGGUCCUGCAAGAAGUCAGUGCGUGCCUAGAUGACCUGCCUCACCUUGAGUAUGCUUGUGUCUUACCAGUGAGGUACACCACACCACGGAGGUGACACACGAGAUCUCUGCUCUUUCGCAUUCCCUGCAAACCUAAUCUCUGGAUUAAUGCUUUCUUGCCAUUAAACUUCUGAUCUGCACUGAGAAAACACAAUGAAGUCAUUGCAAGUCCUGAAAACUGGAAAAAGUCCCUCUUGUUUGAAGCCCUCCCGGGAUAAGUUUCCGACAAGGAGGAGGUCCAAAACGCGAGUGUUUGUGAACAAAAUCUGACUCUUGCAAUCUGCCCACACUGGAUCAGGCUAUUAACGAGUUCAUGACAAGCAACGCACUGGAACGUAAUUAGAGAAGAACUCCGUAGCCAGCCAGACCCUCCCAACCUUUUAAAUGUCAGCUCGGAAACACAUGAAUUGGUUGGAAGGGUCUUCUGGAGCCAAGGUAAACUUUGGGGAAUUGGGGUAAUCUGCCAACAUGCCUUCAGAGCAGCGAGGUCCUGGUACCAGACGGUCAGCUCGCUGCAGUGACUCCUCCUUGGCAUGGUUGUGAUGGAUGAUUUCUGACACAUCCCAUCUCCCAUGGGCUGGUCUUUUAUUAUAAAGUAAUCUUCCUGGCAGAAAACGAUGGUUUCAUCAAGACUGAGGUGUUUUGUAGGAACAUGGCUGACCCUUCUCCCAAGGGCACAUUUUGACUUUUCCUUUAGAGACAAGAUUUCCUCUCCAUGACAAGGCAGGUUAUCUUUUUUAAUCAGACCUGGAAUAAAAGAUUCAGAUCUGUCCCAAUGUCCAGUUCCUCUUUGGAAAUUUGUUUCCUGGGAAAUUUCAAAAUGUUUUUGAAACAAGUUUGCAAACACGGAGCACGCUCCUAGCAAUCCUGGCAGGCAGCAGCUCCGAAUACCCUACAGGAAAGCAUCCGAGGGACGGAGAAAACUCCUCCACCUGCAACAGUUCAUCCAUGCAAAUGAUGCUGGAUUAAACUGUCUCCUAAUAGAGGCUGGCCCAAGCAAACCCUCUCUUGCAAGUGAUGCUUUUCCCUGUGUCUUUUCCUCUCUUGGGGUUUUCUUCCGGACAAAAAGCUGGCACUGGUUCCUCAGCUCUGCAAGUAACCUUGGGAAAGGGGUUGGGAAGCCCUCAGUUGUUUGGGAUCCCGAGCCUGGGACAGGUGGCUGAAGGGGAUGGAUGGAUGUUGGUGACCAAAGUGCAGAUUUGAAGACCCAGGUGGGAUUUACAUAAGCACACGGUCGAGCCAACACUUUGAGAGCCAGCCCCAAAGCUGCUGCCUUCAGACCCCCCCUUUCUGUCCCUGCUUUCCCAGCUGGGGAUGGGAGUCUGGGAUUUAAUGCCUGGAGUCAGAAACAAAGUCCAAGCAGGUGCUGUUGCCAGCUGGCAAGACUGAUACAGCCUGGCUUUGCUUCCUGAAGGCAAGAGCAUCCUUUAACAUCCCCACUGGGGAGCACCAACGACAGCAGCUUGCAACCCCAAUCUUGCCAAAGGGAGUAUUUUUGCACUCACUGCACCAUUGGGCCAUGCAGCUCUUGGCCAUGGGAUGAUGUUGGGACAGAGAAAACAGCCAGGCUGAGAAAGUGCCUGGAUGCUACAUCUGUGUGUGCCCAUCGCCCCGUUCCCAGCCCUGGGAGGCUGCAACAGCUCGGGGCAGCUGGGAUGGGUGCAGGGACUUCACCUUCUCCCUCUUGCAUUGCCUGAGGUCCGGCUGCCUCUUGGCAUUUUAUGAACAUAAAGCAUUUUGCCUGCGAAUUUCAGCUGGACAACGCAUCCUGCAUUUUACCAUCAGGCUCUGAGGCAGAUCAGCCGGCUUCUGGGAGACAGUUCGUUAGGGGAGACCAUAACGAGAUCAUUUCUUGCUGGAACAACACACUGGCAGAACAUCGGCGCAGAACAGCACCCAACCCUGCUGAGGCUUUCCUUUAUUUCUCGUCACUAAAGGGACUUAGAGAGCUCUACAGGGAUUUGUAACUCCUUCAAGUAAUAGCGUCGAUACCUAGUGGGAGAUGCAGGGAUUUAUAUCUUCACAGGAUCAUCUGAAACAUCACAAAUUAAUGAAGUGUGGUUGCGACAGAGCGUCGUGGCAGCCAGUCACCGUGCCCAGAAGCCCAGUCCUGGACGCAGCAACACACAUUUCAGGUUGGGGUCCCGAAGCACUCAGAGGGCAGAAAAGCACCUAAUUUCUUGGAAAUUCCACAAGUGCAUCCCUGUCUGCCGUGCCUGGACCUUCGGACAGAUUGCCAACGUGAGCAGUGACCCUAUUAGAUGCCAAUUUUGGGGCUCCACGGAAGUGCUUGGAAGGGAGUCAGAGACGCCAGCCAUGCCAAGCUCCGGGCUCUGGUGAGGGAUGCUCACUGAAGUAUCCAAAAUGAUGGAUGCUGCAGCUGAACCCCAAAACCAGCAGUUAAACCCCCCAAACAGAAGCCUCCAGAUGAGCCGAUGGGCUGAUCCUGCAGCCACCUCUGAAUCCCACCAGUCUUCCCAGGCUGGAUUUCCUUGCCCAUGCAUCCCUCAGAAAACUCCCAGCCUGGGACUGGGAAGCAAAUCUCAUGGGUGGCUUAGCUCAGAUGUAUUCUGGCACAGGCCCAAUACUAUAGAAAAUUUGGGUGCAGGUUUCAUCUUCUCCCCUUUCUCCUCUUUAGCAUAUUUUAAUUAAUUGAGCAAAGUGUUGGAGUGAAAUAAUUGCCCUGCCUUGGAGAAAAAAAAGACUGACAAACUUUUCUUGAGAACAUGCAGAAAUAGGACUUUUUAGCUAGUCCAAAACUCUCUUUGAGACAUGCUGUAUGCAGUUUGCCAAACCAUGGCUCGGUUUUGUUGGCCAUUGUAAUGAGAAACCUGCUCACAGCCACCACGUCCAGGUCUCUCCACCACUGAUGUCCUCCACGGUGGCCUCCCCUGGAGAACAAAACAUGGCAAUUCACCCCAAACCAACUACUUACAGGUCAAAAUCACAAAGCAUCUUCUAGGAAACAUCUCCUCCUUCUAGAGAAGGUCUUAUCGGGAAGGUCCAUCAGCAGUCACCGAAAUGCUAUUGCUCCCCUGUGCAGCACAUUUAUUUUUAACGUAAUUAAGAUCCACUGGGGUCCUUCAGCUGUGCAUGACCAACAGGCAUGUUGUCUCCCAAAGGACAUGUGUCCAGGAGCUCUGCAUGGGCAGAGGGGCCAAACGGCCAGUGCUUUGUGCAGAAGAGGUGAAUGUGCGCUCUGCCCUUAAUAAAAACAUGAAUGUAAAUUGCAACAACCUCCACAGAUCGGACACAAUAAUAUAGAAGUAGGAAAAAAACUAGACUAGUGCUCUGAGGGUUGAUGAGGCACUCAGGAUUUCAGUGGCUCUUGCAGGGUUUAUUAAUUGGGGUGAUGUUUUUCUAUUAAUGUGAAUGAG